rnacentral:rRNA from 1 species
AUUGAACGCUGGCGGAAUGCUUUACACAUGCAAGUCGAACGGCAGCACGGGUGCUUGCACCUGGUGGCGAGUGGCGAACGGGUGAGUAAUACAUCGGAACGUACCCAGUUAUGGGGGAUAACUAACCGAAAGGUUAGCUAAUACCGCAUACGCCCUGAGGGGGAAAGCGGGGGACCGUAAGGCCUCGCGUAAUUGGAGCGGCCGAUGUCUGAUUAGCUAGUUGGUGAGGUAAAGGCUCACCAAGGCGACGAUCAGUAGCAGGUCUGAGAGGAUGAUCUGCCACACUGGAACUGAGACACGGUCCAGACUCCUACGGGAGGCAGCAGUGGGGAAUUUUGGACAAUGGGCGAAAGCCUGAUCCAGCCAUUCCGCGUGAGUGAAGAAGGCCUUCGGGUUGUAAAGCUCUUUCGGCAGGGAAGAAACGGUCUAGGUUAAUACCUUGGGCUAAUGACGGUACCUGAAGAAGAAGCACCGGCUAACUACGUGCCAGCCGCCGCGGUAA